UACAGAGGUCUCAAGCGUUGUUCGGAUUCAUUGGGCGUAAAGGGCGCGUAGGCGGCGGGGUAAGUCUGGUGUGAAAUCUAGGAGCUCAACUCCUAAACUGCACUGGAUACUGCUCUGCUAGAGGACUGGAGAGGAGACUGGAAUUCACGGUGUAGCGGUGAAAUGCGCAGAUAUCAGGAGGAACACCGGUGGCGAAGGCGGGUCUCUGGGCCGUAACUGACGCUGAGGAGCGAAAGCAUGGGGAGCGAACAGG
rnacentral:rRNA from 1 species